AGCAGCCGCGGUAAUUCCAGCUCCAAUAGCGUAUAUUAAAGUUGUUGCAGUUAAAAAGCUCGUAGUUGAAUUUCGGGGUCAGUAGAUUGGUCGUGCCACUGGUAUGUACUGGUCUCACUGGCUCCUCCUUCCUGAUGAACCGUAAUGCCAUUAAUCUGGUGUUGCGGGGAGACUGGACUGUUACUUUGAAAAAUUGAGUGUUUAAAGCAGGCUAACGCUUGAAUACAUCAGCAUGGAAUAAUGAAAUAGGACGUUCGAUUCUUAUUUUGUUGGUUUCUAAGAUUGACGUAAUGAUUAAUAGGGAUAGGUUGGGGGCAUUAGUAUUCAAUUGUCAGAGGUGAAAUUCUUGGAUUUAUUGAAGACUAACUACUGCGAAAGCAUUUGCCAAGGAUGUUUUCAUUAAUCAAGAACGAAAGUUAGGGAUCGAAGACGAUCAGAUACCGUCGUAGUACUUAACCAUAAACUAUAGCCGACUACGGGAUACGGGAUAGGAUUAGUUUAAUUUUUUAAUGUACUCUA
rnacentral:rRNA from 1 species